UACGUAUGUCGCGAGCGUUAUCCGGAAUUAUUGGGCAUAAAGGGCAUCUAGGCGGCCAGAUAAGUCCGAGGUGAAAACUGCCGGCUCAACCAGCAGCUUGCCUUGGAAACUACCUGGCUAGAGUAUUGGAGAGGUGGACGGAACUACACGAGUAGAGGUGAAAUUCGUAGAUAUGUGUAGGAAUGCCGAUGAUGAAGAUAGUUCACUGGACGAUAACUGACGCUGAAGUGCGAAAGCUAGGGGAGCGAACAGG
rnacentral:rRNA from 1 species